GGAUUAGAUACCCUGGUAGUCCAUGCCUUAAACGAUGCAUACUAGGUGUAGGGGGGCUCAACCCUCUCUGUACCGGAGCUAACGCAUUAAGUAUGCCGCCUGGGGAGUACGCUCGCAAGGGUGAAACUCAAAAGAAUUGACGGGGGCCCGCACAAGCAGUGGAGCAUGUGGUUUAAUUCGAUGCAACGCGAAGAACCUUACCUGGGCUCGAAAUGUAGAGGACGAUAUCAGAGAUGAUAUUUCUCGAAAGGGUCUCUAUAUAGGUGCUGCAUGGCUGUCGUCAGCUCGUGCCG
rnacentral:rRNA from 1 species